UCUAUACCGUGAAACUGCGAAUGGCUCAUUAAAUCAGUUAUCGUUUAUUUGAUAGUACCUUACUACUUGGAUAACCGUGGUAAUUCUAGAGCUAAUACAUGCUAAAAACCUCGACUUCGGAAGGGGUGUAUUUAUUAGAUAAAAAACCAAUGCCCUUCGGGGCUUCUUGGUGAUUCAUAAUAACUUAACGAAUCGCAUGGCCUUGUGCCGGCGAUGGUUCAUUCAAAUUUCUGCCCUAUCAACUUUCGAUGAUAAGGUAUUGACUUAUCAUGGUUUCAACGGGUAACGGGGAAUUAGGGUUCUAUUCCGGAGAGGGAGCCUGAGAAACGGCUACCACAUCCAAGGAAGGCAGCAGGCGCGCAAAUUACCCAAUCCCGACACGGGGAGGUAGUGACAAUAAAUACUGAUACAGGGCUCUUUUGGGUCUUGUAAUUGGAAUGAGUACAAUUUAAAUCCCUUAACGAGGAACAAUUGGAGGGCAAGUCUGGUGCCAGCAGCCGCGGUAAUUCCAGCUCCAAUAGCGUAUAUUAAAGUUGUUGCAGUUAAAAAGCUCGUAGUUGAACCUUGGGCCUGGCUGGCCGGUCCGCCUCACCGCGUGCACUGGUCCGGCCGGGCCUUUCCUUCUGGGGAACCGCAUGCCCUUCACUGGGUGUGUCGGGGAUCCAGGACUUUUACUUUGAAAAAAUUAGAGUGUUCAAAGCAGGCCUAUGCUCGAAUACAUUAGCAUGGAAUAAUAGAAUAGGACGUUGUGGUUCUAUUUUGUUGGUUUCUAGGACCGCCGUAAUGAUUAAUAGGGAUAGUCGGGGGCAUCAGUAUUCCGUUGUCAGAGGUGAAAUUCUUGGAUUUACGGAAGACUAACUACUGCGAAAGCAUUUGCCAAGGAUGUUUUCAUUAAUCAGUGAACGAAAGUUAGGGGAUCGAAGACGAUCAGAUACCGUCGUAGUCUUAACCAUAAACUAUGCCGACUAGGGGAUCGGGCGAUGUUAUCUUUUUGACUCGCUCGGCACCUUACGAGAAAUCAAAG
rnacentral:rRNA from 1 species